rnacentral:rRNA from 1 species
AGAGUUUGAUCCUGGCUCAGAUUGAACGCUGGCGGCAUGCCUAACACAUGCAAGUCGAACGGUAACAGGCCGCAAGGUGCUGACGAGUGGCGGACGGGUGAGUAAUACGUAGGUAUCUGCCCUGGAGUGGGGGAUAACCCGGGGAAACUCGGGCUAAUACCGCAUACGCUCUUUUAUCGUUGAGAUAGGAGAGGAAAGCGAGGGACCGAAAGGCCUCGCGCUAGAGGAUGAGCCUACGCCCGAUUAGCUAGUUGGUAGGGUAAAGGCCUACCAAGGCGACGAUCGGUAGCUGGUCUGAGAGGAUGGCCAGCCACACUGGGACUGAGACACGGCCCAGACUCCUACGGGAGGCAGCAGUGGGGAAUAUUGGACAAUGGGGGAAACCCUGAUCCAGCGAUGCCGCGUGGGUGAAGAAGGCCUGCGGGUUGUAAAGCCCUUUCAGUGGGAAAGAAAAACGGGGUGUGAACAGCGCUUCGUCUUGACGUUACCCACAGAAGAAGCACCGGCUAACUCCGUGCCAGCAGCCGCGGUAAUACGGAGGGUGCGAGCGUUAAUCGGAAUUACUGGGCGUAAAGGGCGCGUAGGCGGUUGGGUAAGUCGGGUGUGAAAGCCCUGGGCUUAACCUGGGAAUGGCAUUCGAGACCACCUAGCUAGAGUCUGGUAGAGGGAAGUGGAAUUUCCGGUGUAGCGGUGAAAUGUGUAGAUAUCGGAAGGAACACCAGUGGCGAAGGCGACUUCCUGGACCAAGACUGACGCUGANGCGCGAAAGCGUGGGGAUCAAACAGGAUUAGAUACCCCAGUAGUCC